AUGUGGUAUUACUCACGUGAGUUUAAUACUCUAAAGAAAUAUAUAUUUUCUUGGUUCAACCCUCUUAGACAUAACAUCACUACUAGCAGUGGAAAUUUCCCUGAAGCUAUAACGACUACGGUCCAAAAGAGAAAUACUUUUCUGUGUUUUGGUGCUUUCAUUUGGCACUUAUAUAAAGAACAAGCCGCACGCGCAUCAUUCUCAACACUCUUGCCAGCUCUAGUUUAUUACUUCUAUUUCAUAUGGCAAAGGAAAUUAAGUUCUUUGCAUCUUUUGUUGAUGAGUUUGCACCAGCACCUAUGA